AAGUAUCAAAUUUAAUUAUUAAAUAAACAAAGAAAAGGAUCCAAAUGAAAUCAACAUCUAGACUUAGGGUUUUAUCUGACAGAAUUCCACGAGUUUUGGUGUUUGUCUAUUUCUGCAGGGGGUUAUCAGGAAAUACGGAAGAAAGGCCCACACGUCGGGAUUACAUAGAGAUAUUAACGUGCCGCGCAAUUAUCUUACAUCUACAAGACUCCAGAAGACACG
rnacentral:lncRNA from 1 species